AGCAUCCGUAGCCGGCUGUUCAAGUUUCCGGUUAAAUCCACACGCUUAACGUAUGGGCUGCCGGAAAUACUGUUCAGCUAGGGAGUGGGAGAGGUGGACGGUACUCGGUAGGAAGGGGUAAAAUCCUUUGAUCUAUUGAUGACCACCUGUGGCGAAGGCGGUCCACCAGAACACGUUCGACGGUGAGGGAUGAAAGCUGGGGGAGCAAACCGGAUUAGAUACCCGGGUAGUCCCAGCUGUAAACGAUGCAGACUCGAUGAUGCAUUGGCUUGUGGCCAGUGCAGUGCCGCAGGGAAGCCGUUAAGUUUGCCGCCUGGGAAGUACGUACGCAAGUAUGAAACUUAAAGGAAUUGGCGGGGGAGCACAAGCC
rnacentral:rRNA from 2 species